UACAGAGGGUGCGAGCGUUGUCCGGAAUCGCUGGGCGUAAAGGGCGCGUAGGCGGCCUGGUAAGUAGGGGGUGAAAUCCUGCGGCUCAACCGCAGGGCUGCCUCCUAAACUGUCAGGCUGGAGCACGGUAGAGGCAGAUGGAAUUCCCGGUGUAGCGGUGGAAUGCGUAGAGAUCGGGAAGAACACCAGUGGCGAAGGCGGUCUGCUGGGCCGUUGCUGACGCUGAGGCGCGACAGCGUGGGGAGCAAACAGG
rnacentral:rRNA from 1 species